rnacentral:rRNA from 1 species
UACAUGGGGUGCAAACGUUGCUCGGAAUUAUUGGGCGUAAAGCGCACGUAGGCGGUUUGUUAAGUCGGAUGUGAAAUCCCUCGGCUCAACUGAGGAAGUGCAUCCGAAACUGGCAAGCUUGAGUACGAAAGAGGGUCGCGGAAUUCCCGGUGUAGAGGUGAAAUUCGUGGAUAUCGGGAGGAACACCGGUGGCGAAGGCGGCGACCUGGGUCGAUACUGACGCUGAGGUGCGAAAGCGUGGGGAGCAAACAGG